rnacentral:pre_miRNA from 1 species
UAGAGAGUAUAAGUGUAGCGGGUGAGAGAGUAUAAGUGUAGUGGGUGAGAGAGUAUAAGUGUAACGGGUUAGAGUUAUACUCUCUCACCCGCUACACUUAUACUCUCUCACCCGCUACACUUAUACUCUCU